rnacentral:lncRNA from 10 species
UCCAGGGUGGGAGCUGAGCACCCCUCCCUUCAGGUGAAGCUGCUGGAGCUGCAAGAGUUGGUGUUGCCCCUUGUGGGCAACCAUGAGGGGCAUGGCAAAUUCCUCAUCGCUGCCCAGAACCCUGCUGAUGAGCCCACUCCAGGGGCCCCAGCCCCCCAGGAACUUGGGGCUGCCGGUGAGCAGGAUGUUUUUUAUGAAGUGAGCCUGGACAACAACGUGGAGCCUGCACCAGGAGCGGCCAGGGAGGGUUCUCCCCAUGACAACCCCACUGUACAGCAGAUCGUGCAGCUGUCUCCUGUCAUGCAGGACACCUAGGAGCACCCAGGCUUGCCCAGCAAACCCUGCGUGCCAUUCUUCUACCAGGCAGCCGAGAACAGGGAGAUAAACAUCAUCAUCUUCUAAGAGCUGGUCAAGAAAUUUAAAACAACAACAACAACAAAAAGUUACGGGGUUCAUCUCCUACACAAUUCAUUUACUCCAUUUGAAUGCUAGAGCCACUCACAUUUAUUUGUGUUUCUAAUUUACCGUUUAAAUUUAUUUGUAAAAAGUUAAGGGAGAGUUGGUCUUUCCCUGAUGUUC